rnacentral:rRNA from 1 species
UACGUAGGGUGCGAGCGUUGUCCGGAAUUAUUGGGCGUAAAGAGCUCGUAGGCGGUGUGUCGCGUCGGCCGUGAAAACCUGCAGCUUAACUGUGGGCGUGCGGUCGAUACGGGCAUCACUGGAGUUCGGCAGGGGAGACUGGAAUUCCUGGUGUAGCGGUGAAAUGCGCAGAUAUCAGGAGGAACACCGGUGGCGAAGGCGGGUCUCUGGGCCGAUACUGACGCUGAGGAGCGAAAGCCAGGGGAGCAAACGGG